rnacentral:rRNA from 1 species
GACAGAGGGUGCAAACGUUGCUCGGAAUUACUGGGCGUAAAGCGCGUGUAGGUGGAUUGGUGUGUCAGAUGUGAAAGCCCUGGGCUCAACCCAGGAACUGCACCUGAAACUACCAGUCUUGAGUGGUGGAGAGGGAAGUGGAAUUCCCGGUGUAGAGGUGAAAUUCGUAGAUAUCAGGAGGAACACCAGUGGCGAAGGCGGCUUCCUGGACACUAACUGACGCUGAGACGCGAAAGCGUGGGGAGCAAACAGG